CAGCCGCCACGGUAAUACGAAGGGGGCUAGCGUUGUUCGGAUUUACUGGGCGUAAAGCGCACGUAGGCGGACUUUUAAGUCAGGGGUGAAAUCCCGGGGCUCAACCCCGGAACUGCCUUUGAUACUGGAAGUCUUGAGUAUGGUAGAGGUGAGUGGAAUUCCGAGUGUAGAGGUGAAAUUCGUAGAUAUUCGGAGGAACACCAGUGGCGAAGGCGGCUCACUGGACCAUUACUGACGCUGAGGUGCGAAAGCGUGGGGAGCAAACAGGAUUAGAUACCCGGGUAGUCCCUGUCUCUUAUAC
rnacentral:rRNA from 1 species